rnacentral:rRNA from 1 species
AUUGAACGCUGGCGGCAGGCCUAACACAUGCCAGUCGAGCGGAUGAAGGGAGCUUGCUCCUCGAUUCAGCGGCGGACGGGUGAGUAAUGCCUAGGAAUCUGCCUGGUAGUGGGGGAUAACGUCCGGAAACGGGCGCUAAUACCGCAUACGUCCUGAGGGAGAAAGUGGGGGAUCUUCGGACCUCACGCUAUCAGAUGAGCCUAGGUCGGAUUAGCUAGUUGGUGGGGUAAAGGCCUACCAAGGCGACGAUCCGUAACUGGUCUGAGAGGAUGAUCAGUCACACUGGAACUGAGACACGGUCCAGACUCCUACGGGAGGCAGCAGUGGGGAAUAUUGGACAAUGGGCGAAAGCCUGAUCCAGCCAUGCCGCGUGUGUGAAGAAGGUCUUCGGAUUGUAAAGCACUUUAAGUUGGGAGGAAGGGCAGUAAGUUAAUACCUUGCUGUUUUGACGUUACCAACAGAAUAAGCACCGGCUAACUUCGUG